rnacentral:rRNA from 1 species
GCGUAGGAAUCUACCCAGUAGCGGGGGAUAGCCCGGGGAAACCCGGAUUAAUACCGCAUACGCCCCAUGGGGGAAAGAGGGCCUCUUCUUGAAAGCUCUCACUAUUGGAGGAGCCUGCGUUGGAUUAGCUAGUUGGUGGGGUAAAGGCUCACCAAGGCGACGAUCCAUAGCUGGUCUGAGAGGACGAUCAGCCACACUGGAACUGAGACACGGUCCAGACUCCUACGGGAGGCAGCAGUCAGGAAUAUUGUGCAAUGGGGGAAACCCUGACACAGCCAUGCCGCGUGUGUGAAGAAGGCC